UACGGAGGGUGCGAACGUUAAUCGGAAUUACUGGGCGUAAAGCGCUCGUAGGUGGUUUGUUAAGUGAGAUGUGAAAGCCCCGGGCUUAACCUGGGAACUGCAUCUCAAACUGGCAUACUAGAGUAUGGUAGAGGGAGGUGGAAUUCCGCAUGUAGCGGUGAAAUUCGUAGAUAUUCGGAGGAACACCAGUGGCGAAGGCGGCUUACUGGCUCGAUACUGACGCUGAGGUACGAAAGUGUGGGGAGCAAACAGG
rnacentral:rRNA from 1 species